AGCAGCCGCGGUAAUUCCAGCUCCAAUAGCGUAUAUUAAAGUUGUUGCAGUUAAAAAGCUCGUAGUUGAAUUUCGGGACCAAUUUGUUGGUCGUGCCUCGGUACGUACUGGUAUUAUUGGUUUCUCCCUUCUGAAGAACCUUGAUGUCAUUAAUUUGGUGUCUUGGGGAAUCAGGACUGUUACUUUGAAAAAUUAGAGUGUUUAAAGCAGGCAUACGCUUGAAUACAUUAGCAUGAAAUAAUGAAAUAGGACGUUUGAUUCUAUUUUGUUGGUUUCUAGGAUCGACGUAAUGAUUAAUAGGGAUAGUUGGGGGCAUUAGUAUUCAAUUGUCAGAGGUGAAAUUCUUGGAUUUAUUGAAGACUAACUACUGCGAAAGCAUUUGCCAAGGAUGUUUUCAUUAAUCAAGAACGAAAGUUAGGGGAUCGAAGACGAUCAGAUACCGUCGUAGUC
rnacentral:rRNA from 1 species